GGGCCCGAACCAGUUUCGACGGGUGUGGUGGAAUCGGCGUAGCGUGCCCAGGUGCUGAGCUCCUGGUAAAACACUCGGCAAACUUUCAAUCGCCAACAACAACUUGGCUCUAGCCGCGUAACUUAGGUUACUCCGGCAGUGCUCAUGAGGCAGCCCGUCCGGGGCGGCGCAUGAGUAUCGAAAAUCCGGGCUGGCUCCGCGGCGCGUUUCCGGUCGUUGGAGUGAGACUUUAGGAAACUUGUCCAGACGUGGGAGGCCUACCGGCCAGCGUCUGGAGACCUUAAUCGGUAGGCUACGCACGUAGGCGCGUCGGUAGAUCUAUGCUCGGACGCCGGGGCAGUGCCGGCCGGGUCCACUU
rnacentral:tmRNA from 2 species